GAUGAAGAACGUAGCGAAACGCGAUAAGUAAUGUGAAUUGCAGAAUCCAGUGAAUCAUCGAAUCUUUGAACGCACAUUGCGCCCGCCAGUAUUCUGGCGGGCAUGCCUGUUCGAGCGUCAUUUCAACCAUCAAGCCCCCGGCUUGUGUUGGGGACCUGCGGCUGCCGCAGGCCCUGAAAAGCAGUGGCGGGCUCGCUGUCACACCGAGCGUAGUAGCAUACAUCUCGCUCUGGGCGUGCUGCGGGUUCCGGCCGUUAAACCACCUUCAUAACCCAAGGUUGACCUCGGAUCAGGUAGGAAGACCCGCUGAACUUAAGCAUAUCAAUAAGCGGAGGA
rnacentral:misc_RNA from 1 species